rnacentral:lncRNA from 1 species
UGACGUACCUGCGCGAUGCCAUCGCCGUGGACUUCACCGACCGCAACGGAGACGCUAAAGUCAUUCUGGCUCGAGACUCGUUUGCUCCUGCUGAACUUGGCUUCAGCUUGACACGAAACUCCAGACUGAAAGCUCACAUGGACGUGGUUAUGCGUCGGCUCAUGGAGGGGGGCUUGGUGCAGAAGUGGCUCUCAGAGUUCAUUCAAAUGCACGCACAAUUGGGAAAGCAAAAAGCUCUGCAAGCUGAUUUGGCUCUUGUGGGCGGUGACCCGAAGCGCCUGGUGGACACGGACGGAACGGCAC